CAUUCAUGAUCUUUGAGGUCCCUUCCAACCCUGGCCAUUCUGUGAUUCUGUGAACGUGUCCCUGUGUCCCCACCAGGCGCAGGGCAAGGCCUGCCUGCAGAGCGGAGCACGGGGCUGAAAUGCCCACAUCCAUUUUGUUCAACCAGAAGGAAGAAAAGGAGGGGAAAAAAGCACUGGCUUAUAGUAAUAAAGGGCUUUUGAACAUCUCAGCUGGAUAUUUUUCUUCAUGAGUGAGAAGGCCAAAUGCUAUCUUGACAUUUAAUCUUUAAUAAUAAAAAAGGUACUUUGUUUGCCAGUGAAUUCCAAAAUAAUCUGUUUACUCUCUCAUGCCUUAUUACUUUUAACUUGCCAGCUUAGAUGACCUACUUACUUUCCCCUGCUACCACUUUACAGCCACAUAAAACCAUUUACUUUGCAACAUUUACUUCCCUGUCAUUGCAGAGCCAACAGUUGCCGUGUUUUUGCUGGUUAAUCCGUUGGGUUGAGGAACGCGUGCCGUCAGCGCGGUGGGGACGGUCGUGGAACCACAGCAGCACGGCGAGUUGCCCCAGUUUCUCACUGACAGCACUGUGUGUGCUGCUGCAGUUCGUAGUGUCAGUCUGCAGCCCGGUUUGCCUCUCGGGAGCCUUGCUGUGGGCCACUCCUGCGGGGCAGGCGGGACUUGCCCUGCAGUGCUGUUUGUCCCCAAUAAACACCGUUCUGUGUUGACCUGCAGGGCUUUCUGUAGGCUGUCAAACUCCAUAAACUCUUUGGGUGCGUGGCGGAGGUAGGCAGGGAGCUGCAGUUGGAGGAGGAGGCUGAGGGAGUUGUGGUGCAGGCUGAGCACAGAGGUGAUGUAAGUUGCCGUUUGCACGGCUCCAGGGAGAUUGUGGUGAUGCUGUGGCCGUGUGGUCGUUGUGGCUGGUCAGAGCCUGCAUUCAGGGCAUCUUUAAGGGCCAUUUUGGUAUCCAGGACUGAGCUGUGAGAGUGUGGUCAAUCAGACUACAGUGCCAGGUCAGCAGCACCAUGGAGGCAGUGCUCCAUUGGCAGCGCCAGGUUGGCAGUGCUGUGUCAGCAGGGCCGUGUUGGCAGGGCCAUAAGGGCCGUGUUGGCAGGGCCGUGUUGGCAGGGCCAUGUUGGCAGACCUCUCCCGCUUCCAGCGCCAUCCCCAUCCGCUCUCCGUGCCGCUGACUUUUCUUUCACAUUAAAUCCUCUUACUCAUAAACUUCACAUCCAAGAACAACAGUGAGGAAUGGCAGAAGCCUGAUCAUCUAACAUGCUUUAAUAUCUAAAUCUGUUCUUCAGUAUCAUUCUUGUUUACAUUGUUUUUCUGUCUCAAAAAAAUAUAUAUGUGAAGGGAGGAAAAAAAUAAAAUUUUCUUUUACUUCCACAUUAGGAGGUGAGUUGCCAUACACCCUCUGGAAUUCUUUUUUUGCUUUGAAUCUUUAUUUAUUUGUUUAAUUUUCGUUGAUGUCCCCCCAACAUGGUUUUGGAGAUGAAGGUAGGUCUUCGAUCUCCAAAUCUAAAGAAAGGCAAAUUAAAUAAAACAAUACUCUCCUUGGUCAUACCUAAAAAAUAAACCCAAACUGUUCCAUUCCAUACCAUUAAAAAAAACAAAUUAACUAUUGAGCUAUUUCUACAGUUUACCAAUUUAAGAGGGCAGGUUUUCCAAAGAAUCAAAUGGAUCCAAAAUGAUUUUUCUAGAUGCGAUUGAAGUUGUUUGCUGUCAACAUUUUAAUAUCAAUAUUACCACAAUGUGUAGUCUCAAACUAGUUCCUUUGUAGUUUGCAUGGGAUGUGAAUGCUGUCUCGGCGUGCCCAGACCUAGAGAACUCGUUACUACUGCAUGAGCAUCAAGUCAGAUGUUGAAAAAUAUCUAUUAUAUUUUGUGAUAAUUUGGUAAAAAUGAGCACCUACAGUCUCUGGUUGCAGUAGUGUGUUGAAUGAUCGUUCUUUUUUUUUUAUAUAUAUUCAUAUAUAUAUUUUGGAGCUCUAAGCUUCGUAGUAGUACGGGCUGACUAUUAUUCAGUACUUGCUCUCCUAUCGCAUGGCCUUGGUUAAGUGUUAGAAGUUGGGCCUAGGCUGUUUAUUCUGGUGUUUGGCUUUGUAAUAACGGUGCAUGCCCGGCGUCUGGCCUCAUACCCAGCUUUAUUCUCUGCACACCAGUCUUGAAUAGCUACAGUGCUCAACCGAAUUUUGGCGCACCCGCUUCCCCGGCAGGCUCCAACCCAGCCCGGCCCGGAGGCUUCCCUGGGGCCAACAGCCCUGGGCCCGUCGCAGACCUCUACGGCACGGCCAGCCAGGACUCCGGCGUCGGCAACUACAUAAGUGCUGCCAGCCCACAGCCGGGCUCCGGCUUCAGCCACGGGAUCGCCGGACCUUUGAUUGCAACGGCUUUUACAAAUGGAUACCAUUGAAACGUUACACAUGGUUGGUUGCCAUCUCACUUGGAGAGUCUCUCUGGAUGUCCGGGCAAAACGGGGCGAAGUUUCUGAGCGGUCCCACGGUGAGGUGACAUCAUCAGACUUCAGCACUACAUCUUCACCAACAGCAAACGAACUGGAGGUGGCACUCGACGGACUUGGGCUGUUUAAAAAAUCUCUCUCAUCAUCUCAUGAAUCUGCUGUACUAUAAAAACAACAGCUUUUAAAAGUAUGUAUAUAAAAUCCAUUUCUUGUUCGUUUUAUUUUCUCAAUGGGUUCCCCCCCCUUUUUAAACCUACUCGACCCACAUUUUUUGGUAGCGUUUUGACAUAGUCUCGUAGCCACAUAGACCUAAUUCUUUGUGUAUCUCGUAGAAGCCUAACCAUAGCCUAGCUGUUUAUAUUAAGAUUUUCUUUCGUUUCCCUCCCCCCGUGUCCCCCCAGUCUCUGUAGUUGCUGUUAUUGCAGGACGUGGGGCUGCGGAGCACACGGGUCGUCCCCCCUCCUUUUGUUUGUGCUGUCUUCGUUCACCCGAUUCUAUCUAUUUUCGGCAAUAAGGCAAGGACGACAGACUUUUGGGCGUCCUUUUUCUAUAAGUGCUUUUUUUUUGUUGAAAGAGGUGAUAUAAGGUUUUUUGAAAUCGUGAAUUCUG